rnacentral:tRNA from 1 species
UCCCUUGUGGCUCAGCUGGUAAAGAAUCUGCCUGCAAUGCGGGAGACCCAGGUUCGAUCCCUGGGUUGGGAA